rnacentral:lncRNA from 13 species
AUGAGAGGCCUCCAAGCUCCACUGAAGGUGAUGAUAAAGACAAAGAUGAAGCCAUCUGCUCCAAGAAGGUGGGCAGGUCCUUUCCAGAGGAAGACCAAAGAAGUGAAGAGUCAUUGUCAUGACAUCACACCCAGGGCCCGUCCUACCAAUACGACUCAUCACUGUUGAUUUGGACCUCGAUCACGCAGCUGAGAUGGUGUCAGGAUUCUACACUAUAAAGAUACUCUUCCCAGCUGGGCUUAGUGGCUCAUGGCUAUAAUCCCAGCACCUUGGAACGCUGAGGCAGGUGGAUCAUUUGAAGUCAGGAGUUCAAGACUGGCCUGGCCAAGAUGGCGAAAUGCCAUCUCUACUAAAAAUUAAAGAAAAAAAUUAGCUGGGUGUGGUGUUGGGCACCUGUAAUCCCAGCUAUUGUGGAGGUUGAGGCAGAAGAAUUGCUUGAACCUGGGAGGCGGAGGUUGUAGUGAGCCAAGUUCAAGACAUUGUAGUCCAACCUGGGCAAGAGAGAGAGAUUCUGACUCAAAAAAAAAAAAAAAAAAGAUAUUCUUCCUACUUCCCUUUUCAUAUUGUAUACUUUGGAAGGAAGUUACUAUGUACAAACCACCCUUAAAGAGUGGGGUAUUUGAAAUACAGAGUAUCUAUAUGCUAUUUGGAAUGCUGCCUGGGUGAUGGCCUCUUCUCCUUGAUAUAUGUGUGCGUGUGUGUGUGUGUGUGUGUGUGUGUGUGUGUGUGGAGAGAGAGAGAGAGAGAGAGAGAGAGAGUUUUGCUUUUAUUGUCCAGGCUGAUCUCCUAGGUUCAAGCGAUUCUCCUGCCUCAGCCUCCCUAGUAGCUGGGAUUACAGGCCUGCACCAACACGCUCAGCUAAUUUUGUAUUUUUAGUAGAGACAGGGUUUCUCCAUGUUGGUCAGGCUGGUCUCGAACUCCUGACCUCAGGUGAUCCACCUGCCUUGGCCUCCCAAAGUGCUGGGAUUACAAGUGUGAGCCAUCAUGCCUGGCCAGCAGUCUCUUUGUUAAUUCACUACAACUGAAUCUCUAUAAUAUAGGAGAUUUUCUCCAUAGGCUGUGAAUGCCAGC